rnacentral:rRNA from 1 species
CCUACGGGAGGCAGCAGUGGGGAAUAUUGCACAAUGGGGGAAACCCUGAUGCAGCGACGCCGCGUGAGUGAAGAAGUAAUUCGUUACGUAAAGCUCUAUCAGCAGGGAAGAAACACUGACCUUACGGUCAGCAGACGGUCCCUGAGUAAGACGCCCCGGCUAACUCCGUGCUAGCAGCCGCGGGAAUACGUAGGGUGCACGCGUUAUCCAGAUUUACUGGGUGUAAAGGGAGCGUAUACGGUGCGCCAAGUCUGGAGUGAAAUGCCGCGGCUUAACUGCGGAAGUGCUUUGGAAACGGGCGAACUUGAGUGGGGGAGGGGUAAGCGGAAUGCCUAGGGUAGCGGUGAAAUGCGUAGAUAUUAGGAGGAACACCGGUGGAGAAGGCGGCUUACUGGACCGUAACUGACGUUGAGGCUCGAAAGCGUGGGGAGCAAACAGGAUUAGAUACCCCAGUAGGC